rnacentral:rRNA from 1 species
CCUACGGGAGGCUGCAGUGAGGAAUAUUGGUCAAUGGGAGAGAUCCUGAACCAGCCAAGCCGCGUGAGGGAAGACGGCCCUAUGGGUUGUAAACCUCUAUUUUCGGAGAACAAAACCCGGGACGUGUCCCGGACUGCGUGUAUCCGAAGAAAAAGCAUCGGCUAACUCCGUGCCAGCAGCCGCGGUAAUAGGGAGGAUGCGAGCGUUAUCCGGAUUUAUUGGGUUAAAGGGGGGCGUAGGCGGUCCGUUAAGGCAGCGGUAAAAUUGCGGGGCUAAACCCCGUUGAGCCGUUGAAACUGGGAGACUUGAGUUGGCGAGAAGUACGCGGAAUGCGCGGUGUAGCGGUGAAAUGCAUAGAUA